AGCAGUGGGGAAUAUUGGACAAUGGGCGCAAGCCUGAUCCAGCCAUGCCGCGUGAGCGAUGAAGGCCUUAGGGUUGUAAAGCUCUUUUGUCCGGGACGAUAAUGACGGUACCGGAAGAAUAAGCCCCGGCUAACUUCGUGCCAGCAGCCGCGGUAAUACGAAGGGGGCUAGCGUUGCUCGGAAUCACUGGGCGUAAAGGGCGCGUAGGCGGCCAUUCAAGUCGGGGGUGAAAGCCUGUGGCUCAACCACAGAAUUGCCUUCGAUACUGUUUGGCUUGAGUAUGGCAGAGGUCAGUGGAACUGCGAGUGUAGAGGUGAAAUUCGUAGAUAUUCGCAAGAACACCAGUGGCGAAAGCGGCUGACUGGGCCAUUACUGACGCUGAG
rnacentral:rRNA from 1 species